AAUAAAUAUACUAAAAUAGAAAUCUUAAUAAAAUAUUAAAAUAAAAAUAUUAAUUAAAUUCUAAUCAGAAACUUAUCAAAACUUUAAUCAAACCUUAGUCAAAUCUUAAUAAAAUCCUUAUCAAAUCUUAAUCAACUCUUAAAUAAGCCCUAACCAAAUCCUAGACAAAUCCUAGUCAAAUCCUAAUCAAACUCUAAUAAAAUCUUAAUCAAAUUCUAGUCAAAUUCUAAUCAAAUCUCAAUCAAAUCCUAAUAAAAUCCUAAUCAAAUUCUAGUCAAAUUUUAAUAAAAUCUUAAUCAAAUUCUAGUCAAAUUCAAAUCAAAUCUCAAUCAAAUCUUAAUAAAAUCUUAGUCAAAUUCUAAUCAAAUCUCAAUCAAAUCCUAAUAAAAUCCUAAUCAAAUUCUAAUCAAAUUUCAAUCAAAUCCUAAAAAAAUCCUAAUAAAAUCUUAGUCAAAUCUUAGACAUAUCCUAAAUAAGCCAUAACCAUAUCCUAGACAAAUUCUAAUCAAAUU
rnacentral:lncRNA from 1 species